UGGGCUGUCGGUGCCGCCGGC
rnacentral:misc_RNA from 1 species